UUCUUACCUACACUAGUACCUGACUUUACUAACACCGUUGUAGUUGAAUGAAUCUCCACAAAGUCUAGAUGAACAUCUUCCAAGAAGAGUGGAGCUCUAAAUGUGGAAUAGGGUGUUCAAAAAACCUCAGAUAAAGGCUGUGAAAAGCUGUGCACAAUAUUUUCAUGUUCCAGGGUUUGAGGUACACAGAUGAAUUUUGCUGCUUCUGCAUAAGAACGAUGACAAAACAAGUCAAUCUGCCUUUUAGGAUUAACUUUAGCAUACAGAGUGUAUUCAGGAAGCGGGUGUACUUCCCCGUAUUAAUGACAGGCUGCUUUGAGGAAGCUUGAGUAGUAAGUGAUGAGACAGCCGGAGCUCCUGAUUACACACACGAGGAUAAACGUCACUUACAGAAACAAGGGCCGUUUGUCUCCUGUACAGUUUAUAGCAACGACACUCGACCCACGAGCAUUUGUGCGCCUCGGUUACCAACGCAGUCACAUAUGCUGAUUUCCUGCUUCUGGUGAGGAUGUUCUUUAGGUAAUAAAAAAAAAGUCUCGAGUCUCAGCGGUGACGGAAACACAAGCGUUCGUCCCGAACUGCCGGUCCAGGUGCUUGUCCUUAGGAGUUAUCUUUACUCCUGUUUUCCGCAUUUUGUCAAACAGUUUCUGACAGCUGUUCCCCACUCACUCAGUGAGUAAAGGGAAAGUUGGAAGGAGCAACAAGGGACCAGGAUCAGACACUACCUCGUUUUCCUCUUCCUGCUUAUCGCUCCCCAGGCUGCUGUAGUUGUCUGUCAAGGCCUGUAGCCUUUUCUUUUUUUGUUUGUUUGUUUUUCCAUCAUUUCUCUCCUCUCCUUUUUUUUUUUUUUUGCUCUGCACUCCUCUGAGCCAUACGUUCCCCAGUUUGCCAACUGUUAUCUAAGUGCCCCAGUUUCUGAGAGAACCAGCCCUUCCAGCCAUAACACACACACACACACACACACACGCUCCUUUAUAGCGUGUUGCCCAAAAACUCUGGCGAUGAGGGAAUCCAGAGAAAGUGGAUUUUCUACAGACUGCUGUUUUCACUCCUAAGUUGAGCUCAGUUCUGAACAUAAAUUUCUCAAGAGCCUAAAAGAUCUGCCUGUGCAGUCGAGUCACAAAGCAGCUAAGAUGCACUGCACCGACUCCCUCGCCCCUGUGAUUUACCCGACUCCAUCAGGAACUGGGGUCCGUAGCAUGCCGGUGCCGGUUCUGAAGCAUGGCAGUGCUGCACUUCGGGUGUGAAACAGCAUCAUUGGCCAUCAAAUGGAGCAACAAAACCACACCAAUAAAGUAUAUUGGCACAUGUGCAACUUCUCUGUGGACUCUAUUGCCCCUGUCUGGUUUUAUGUCUUUUUUUUCAUCGUCUUAUUUUGUAGAAACCUAUCAUGCUUUUUUGUUAGACCACAACAGCCUCAUUUUAAAGCGUCUUUUGUUCAUGGUGCUCAUUUUCAUAGUUUCAUAACUUAAAUACAAUAAAGCCGUCUGCAUGCUUUUGAUACUCAUGACAAAAAUAGGGCUUCUGGUGUCCUAAAUUCCAAUUUCUUCCUUCCUUUUUUCUGGCGCAAUGACCACUGAGGAUCUCACUCUCCCCAACUAGAUCUAAAAAAAAAUCACACACCAAAAAGAAAUUGGCCAAAAAGAUAGGUCAUUGGAAAAAAAUAAAUUGUAUCUGUUUUCCCUUCCUCAGUUUUUGUUUUGGAGAAAACGGUUGGAGGCACACAACUGGACAGAACUUCUAUAUAAAUGUAUAUAGUUUCUCACAACAGUGGGAAACAGCAGGAGUUACAAUGACAGUAAUUUUCUGAUUACCUGCUGCAGGGAUGCUCAUGU